AUUGAACGCUGGCGGCAUGCUUUACACAUGCAAGUCGAACGGUAACAGGUUAAGCUGACGAGUGGCGAACGGGUGAGUAAUGCAUCGGAACGUGCCCGAUCGUGGGGGAUAACGCAGCGAAAGCUGCGCUAAUACCGCAUACGAUCUGAGGAUGAAAGCGGGGGACCGUAAGGCCUCGCGCGAUCGGAGCCGCCGAUGACGGAUUAGGUAGUUGGCGGGGUAAAGGCCCACCAAGCCGACGAUCUGUAGCUGGUCUGAGAGGACGACCAGCCACACUGGGACUGAGACACGGCCCAGACUCCUACGGGAGGCAGCAGUGGGGAAUUUUGGACAAUGGGCAAAAGCCUGAUCCAGCAAUGCCGCGUGCAGGAAGAAGGCCUUCGGGUUGUAAACUGCUUUUGUACGGAGCGAAAAGGUCCUUUCUAAUACAAGGGGCUCAUGACGGUACCGUAAGAAUAAGCACCGGCUAACUACGUGCCAGCCGCCGCCGUAAGAC
rnacentral:rRNA from 1 species